CCCGCCCCUGUAACGGGGAUAUAAUGACAUCAUAUUCCCUUGCCCCUGUAACAAGUAUAAUGACAUCAUAUUCCCUCGCCACUGUAACGGGUAUAAUGACAUCAUAUUCCCUCGCCCCUCUAACGGGUAUAAUGACAUCAUAUUCCCUUGCCCCUCUAACGGGUAUAAUGACAUCAUAUUCCCUAAUGACAUCAUAUUCCCUUGCCCCUCUAACGGAUAUAAUGACAUCAUAUUCCCUAAUGACAUCAUAUUCCCUUGCCCCUGUAACUGGUAUAAUGACAUCGUAUUCCCUUGCCCCUGUAACGUGUAUAAUGACAUCAUAUUCCCUUGCCCCUGUAACGGGUAUAAUGACAUCAUAUUCCCUCGCCCCUGUAACGUGUAUAAUGACAUCAUAUUCCCUCGCCCCUCUAACGGGUAUAAUGACAUCAUAUUCCCUCGCCCCUGUAACGUGUAUAAUGACAUCAUAUUCCCUCGCCCCUCUAACGGGUAUAAUGACAUCAUAUUCCCCCGCCCCUGUAACGGGGAUAUAAUGACAUCAUAUUCCCUUGCCCCUGUAACGGGGAUAUAAUGACAUCAUAUUCCCUCGCCCCUCUAACGGGUAUAAUGACAUCAUAUUCCCCCGCCCCUGUAACGGGGAUAUAAUGACAUCAUAUUCCCUUGCCCCUGUAACGGGGAUAUAAUGACAUCAUAUUCCCUUGCCCCUGUAACGGGGAUAUAAUGACAUCAUAUUCCCUCGCCCCUCUAACGGGUAUAAUGACAUCAUAUUCCCUUGCCCCUCUAACGGGUAUAAUGACAUCAUAUUCCCUAAUGACAUCAUAUUCCCUUGCCCCUCUAACGGAUAUAAUGACAUCAUAUUCCCUAAUGACAUCAUAUUCCCUAAUGACAUCAUAUUCCCUAAUGACAUCAUAUUCCCUUGCCCCUGUAACGUGUAUAAUGACAUCAUAUUCCCUUGCCCCUCUAACGGGUAUAAUGACAUCAUAUUCCCUAAUGACAUCAUAUUCCCUUGCCCCUCUAACGGAUAUAAUGACAUCAUAUUCCCUAAUGACAUCAUAUUCCCUUGCCCCUGUAACGGGUAUAAUGACAUCAUAUUCCCUUGCCCCUGUAACGUGUAUAAUGACAUCAUAUUCCCUUGCCCCUGUAACGGGUAUAAUGACAUCAUAUUCCCUCGCCACUGUAACGGGUAUAAUGACAUCAUAUUCCCUCGCCCCUCUAACGGGUAUAAUGACAUCAUAUUCCCUCGCCACUGUAACGGGUAUAAUGACAUCAUAUUCCCUCGCCCCUCUAACGGGUAUAAUGACAUCAUAUUCCCUCGCCACUGUAACGGGUAUAAUGACAUCAUAUUCCCUCGCCCCUCUAACGGGUAUAAUGACAUCAUAUUCCCUCGCCACUGUAACGGGUAUAAUGACAUCAUAUUCCCUCGCCACUGUAACGGGUAUAAUGACAUCAUAUUCCCUCGCCCCUCUAACAGGUGUAAUGACAUCAUAUUCCCUCGCCACUGUAACGGGUAUAAUGACAUCAUAUUCCCUAAUGACAUCAUAUUCCCUCGCCACUGUAACGGGUAUAAUGACAUCAUAUUCCCUCGCCCCUCUAACAGGUAUAAUGACAUCAUAUUCCCUUUCCCCUCUAACAGGUAUAAUGACAUCAUAUUCCCUCGCCACUGUAACGGGUAUAAUGACAUCGUAUUCCCUCGCCCCUCUAACAGGUAUAAUGACAUCAUAUUAUGGUCACUGUAGAUCCUUUGUUGCGUCAGUCAGACCUCAUAACUAUAUCUUUCCACCAAUCCUGAAAUGUUGCAGCAUAUUCCCUCGCCCCUGUAACGGGUAUAAUGACAUCAUAUUCCCUAAUGACAUCAUAUUCCCUCGCCCCUGUAACGGGUAUAAUGACAUCAUAUUCCCUAAUGACAUCAUAUUCCCUCGCCCCUGUAACGGGUAUAAUGACAUCAUAUUCCCUAAUGACAUCAUAUUCCCUCGCCCCGCUAACAGGUGUUGA
ensembl:lncRNA